rnacentral:rRNA from 1 species
GUAGGUGGCAAGCGUUGUCCGGAAUUAUUGGGCGUAAAGCGCGCGCAGGCGGGGGGUUUUUUAAGUCUGAUGUGAAAGCCCACGGGCUCAACCGUGGAGGGUCAUUGGAAACUGGAGAACUUGAGUACAGAAGAGGAAAGCGGAAUUCCACGUGUAGCGGUGAAAUGCGUAGAGAUGUGGAGGAACACCAGUGGCGAAGGCGGCUUUCUGGUCUGUAACUGACGCUGAGGCGCGAAAGCGUGGGGAGCAAACAGGAUUAGAUACCCUGGUAGUCCACGCCGUAAACGAUGAGUGCUAAGUGUUAGGGGGUUUCCGCCCCUUAGUGCUGCAGCUAACGCAUUAAGCACUCCGCCUGGGGAGUACGGCCGCAAGGCUG